rnacentral:rRNA from 1 species
AGAGUUUGAUCCUGGCUCAGGAUGAACACUAGCGGCAGGCCUAAUACAUGCAAGUCGAACGUGGCAGCAAUGUCAUAGUGGCGCACGGGUGCGUAACACGUAACUAACCUACCUAUAACUGGGGGAUAGCCCGCCGAAAGGCGGAUUAAUACCGCAUAAGCUAGUUGAUUGGCAUCAGUUGAUUAGUAAAGAUUUAUUGGUUAUAGAUGGGGUUGCGGGUCAUUAGCUAGUUGGUAAGGUAACGGCUUACCAAGGCGACGAUGACUAGGGGAGCUGAGAGGCUGGUCCCCCACACGGGCACUGAGAUACGGGCCCGACUCCUACGGGAGGCAGCAGUAGGGAAUAUUGGGCAAUGGACGAGAGUCUGACCCAGCCAUGCCGCGUGCAGGAUGAAGGCUUUCUGAGUCGUAAACUGCUUUUGACAGGGAAGAAUAAGCACUACGUGUAGUGCGAUGACGGUACCUGCAGAAUAAGCACCGGCUAACUCCGUG